AGCGAACGCUGGCGGCAGGCUUAACACAUGCAAGUCGAACGGAUCCUUCGGGAUUAGUGGCGGACGGGUGAGUAACACGUGGGAACGUGCCUUUUGGUUCGGAACAACACAGGGAAACUUGUGCUAAUACCGGAUGUGCCCUUCGGGGAAAGAUUUAUCGCCAUUAGAGCGGCCCGCGUCUGAUUAGCUAGUUGGUGAGGUAAAGGCUCACCAAGGCUACGAUCAGUAGCUGGUCNGAGAGGAUGAUCAGCCACACUGGGACUGAGACACGGCCCAGACUCCUACGGGAGGCAGCAGUGGGAAUCUUGCGCAAUGGGGGAAACCCUGACGCAGCCAUGCCGCGUGAAUGAUGAAGGUCUUAGGAUUGUAAAAUUCUUUCAGCGGGGACGAUAAUGACGGUACCCGCAGAAGAAGCUCUGGCUAACUUCGUGCCAGCCGCCGCAGUAAC
rnacentral:rRNA from 1 species